rnacentral:lncRNA from 1 species
AAUUAUAGAAAAUAUAGAAAUGAGCCCCAAAUAUCGGGGUGUCACUAAGUCAUGAGCGUUUAAAUCUAUGAACUAAGAAAUAAAACUGUCUAACUGUCAAUGUAGUCCAAAAGAAGAAAUGAUAAAAGGAGUAACAAGGUCCUGCGGACGCUAGCAGCUACCUUGCAGUCUCCAACGAUAGUCGGCCUGAACUCAACGAUCGCCGCGCUCUAACUCACCUGGAUCUGCACAUAAAGUGCAGGGUGUAGCAUGAGUACAACCGACUAAGUAGUAACAUAAAUAACUAAUGAACUGAGCAGUAGUGACGAGCUAAGCAGAAUAAUCCAAUUAUUAUUUCCACAAUUAAGUACAAACAGGAGUAGACAUGUAAUUUCAUAAAUCAGUAAGACUAAAAGAAAAAUUAACAGUUAAAUGCAGCAACAGCAAAAGUAAAUGCAACCUCACAGCAAUGUCACUCCAUCACUCAGUACUCGCACUCAGCACUCAACGCUCAACACUCUGCGCUCACUGGGGGGGGAGGGGGGUGUACAGACUCCGGAGGGGCUCCCAAAGCCCAAGCGCUAAGCACGGACAACUCACGUGCCAUCAUAUUAAUACCAGGAUCUGCACGGUCAACUCACGUGCUACGCGGACAACUCACGCGCUAUGGUAUUAAUAUCCUCACAACCAGGCCCUCGGCCUCACUCAAUCAUGUACCUCACUAGCCUCAGCCUCACCAUCAUCAACAAAUAAGGGAACACAACCCACAUCAAGUAUCACAGCAUAUUAGCAAAUAAUAGAGACUGAGGUAAAUAUGUACAAUAAUUUCUAUGACUAAGUACAAAUAAUGUGAGCAUGAAUAAAGCCAAAGCAUGAUCUCUAACAUGAAGGCAGACAAGUUCAACAACAAGUAACUACGUAAACACAGAUGAUGGCCAUGAGGCCUCAUGGGACGGACCAAGUCUCAAUCCCUCGAGGUAUACACCCACACGCAUGUCACCUAGCGUGGUUAUCACCUCUAAACAGUCACACGAUAUCAAAUUCUCUGGGUUUAUACCCUCAAAGGCAGAGUUAAAAUUGUUACUUACCUUAACAGCGUAAAAUUCUAUUCCGGGAUGCCCUCGUCUCUGAACUCGGUCUCUAAAAGCUCCGAAUCUAACCAAAAAUCAGAAUACUACUAUCAACAUAGUCUAAAAAUCAAAUUCCAC